AACGCACAUUGCACCGUUUACCUUUGGCUAACGGUAUGCCUGUUUGAGCGUCACUAUAACAAUCUCUCUCAACUCUGUUAGUGUGUUGUGAGGGGAUUUGGAUGAUCCGAGGGUUCUAACGUGAUUUCACGGUGGGAUACACGGUUGUCUGAAAUAUAGUGACACUAGUCUGACGACGAGAUAAUAGUCUUGGGAGCACAGUUUACUGUGAGACCAUGCUAGUCCGUUACGCUAAAUUCACACACCAUUAAGUUAGUGGGCCUAAUAACCCUCCUAAAUGGUUUGAAUGUAAUAGACUUGUAGUACUAGUAUCGUUUGAGUUGACGGACUUUGACCGCAAGGUCGAUGUCAAUAUCCGGGAAACGAACGGUCUCUCUAACGGGAGCACUAUUCAAUUAACCUUUUGACCUCAAAUCAGGUAGGAAGACCCGCUGAACUUAA
rnacentral:misc_RNA from 1 species